CAUCAAAGAGGAGCCCGAGGAGUUGAGUGACGGCGGCAGCUUUGGGUCCCCCCCCACAAGCGACACCGUCCUGGACCCCCCCUGGGCCGCCUGUGCAGGUGCCAGCUCAGAGGAUGAGGCCCC